rnacentral:rRNA from 1 species
GGGCCCGCACAAGCGGCGGAGCAUGCGGAUUAAUUCGAUGCAACGCGAAGAACCUUACCAAGGCUUGACAUGUUCUCGAUCGCCGUAGAGAUACGGUUUCCCCUUUGGGGCGGGUUCACAGGUGGUGCAUGGUUGUCGUCAGCUCGUGUCGUGAGAUGUUGGGUUAAGUCCCGCAACGAGCGCAACCCUCGUUCCAUGUUGCCAGCACUUCGGGUGGGGACUCAUGGGAGACUGCCGGGGUCAACUCGGAGGAAGGUGGGGACGACGUCAAAUCAUCAUGCCCCUUAUGUCUUGGGCUUCACGCAUGCUACAAUGGCCGGUACAAUGGGUUGCGAUACUGUGAGGUGGAGCUAAUCCCAAAAAGCCGGUCUCAGUUCGGAUUGGGGUCUGCAACUCGACCCCAUGAAGUCGGAGUCGCUAGUAAUCGCAGAUCAGCAACGCUGCGGUGAAUACGUUCCCGGGCCUUGUACACACCGCCCGUCAAGUCACGAAAGUCGGUAACACCCGAAGCCGGUGGCCU